rnacentral:rRNA from 1 species
GGAGUUAGCCGGUGCUUCUUCUGUGAGUGAUGUCCUUCCUGCCGGCUAUUAACCCGCAGGCCUUCUUCCUCACUGAAAGUGCUUUACAACCCGAAGGCCUUCUUCACACACGCGGCAUGGCUGGAUCAGGGUUGCCCCCAUUGUCCAAUAUUCCCCACUGCUGCCUCCCGUAGGAGUCUGGGCCGUGUCUCAGUCCCAGUGUGGCUGAUCAUCCUCUCAGACCAGCUACGGAUCGUCGCCUUGGUGAGCCGUUACCUCACCAACCAGCUAAUCCGACAUAGGCUCAUCCGAUAGCGCGAGGCCCGAAGGUCCCCCUCUUUCCCCCGUAGGGCGUAUGCGGUAUUAGCCUGGGUUUCCCCAGGUUAUCCCCCACUACCGGGCAGAUUCCUAUGCAUUACUCACCCGUCCGCCGCUCGCCACCAGGGAGCAAGCUCCCCGUGCUGCCGCUCGACUUGCAUGUGUUAGGCCUGCCGCCAGCGUUCAAUCUGAGCCAGAAUCGAACCCUGA